rnacentral:tRNA from 1 species
CAAAAUAUAGCUUAACCAAAGCAUCUCGCUUACACCGAGAAAAUAUCUGUGAAAAUCGGAUUAUUUUGA